rnacentral:rRNA from 1 species
GUAGUCUGCAACCCGACUACAUGAAGCUGGAAUCGCUAGUAAUCGCGGAUCAGAAUGCCGCGGUGAAUACGUUCCCGGGUCUUGUACACACCGCCCGUCACACCAUGGGAGUCGGAAAUGCCCGAAGUCUGUGACCCAACCUUAGGGAGGGAGCAGCCGAAGGCAGGUCGGAUGACUGGGGGUGAAGUCGUAACAAGGUAAC